AAAUUGAAGAGUUUGAUCAUGGCUCAGAUUGAACGCUGGCGGCAGGCCUAACACAUGCAAGUCGAGCGGUAGCACAGAGAGCUUGCUCUCGGGUGACGAGCGGCGGACGGGUGAGUAAUGUCUGGGAAACUGCCUGAUGGAGGGGGAUAACUACUGGAAACGGUAGCUAAUACCGCAUAACGUCGCAAGACCAAAGAGGGGGACCUUCGGGCCUCUUGCCAUCAGAUGUGCCCAGAUGGGAUUAGCUAGUAGGUGGGGUAACGGCUCACCUAGGCGACGAUCCCUAGCUGGUCUGAGAGGAUGACCAGCCACACUGGAACUGAGACACGGUCCAGACUCCUACGGGAGGCAGCAGUGGGGAAUAUUGCACAAUGGGCGCAAGCCUGAUGCAGCCAUGCCGCGUGUAUGAAGAAGGCCUUCGGGUUGUAAAGUACUUUCAGCGGGGAGGAAGGCGAUAAGGUUAAUAACUUUGUCGAUUGACGUUACCCGCAGAAGAAGCACCGGCUAACUCCGUGCCAGCAGCCGCGGUAAUACGGAGGGUGCAAGCGUUAAUCGGAAUUACUGGGCGUAAAGCGCACGCAGGCGGUCUGUCAAGUCGGAUGUGAAAUCCCCGGGCUCAACCUGGGAACUGCAUUCGAAACUGGCAGGCUAGAGUCUUGUAGAGGGGGGUAGAAUUCCAGGUGUAGCGGUGAAAUGCGUAGAGAUCUGGAGGAAUACCGGUGGCGAAGGCGGCCCCCUGGACAAAGACUGACGCUCAGGUGCGAAAGCGUGGGGAGCAAACAGGAUUAGAUACCCUGGUAGUCCACGCCGUAAACGAUGUCGACUUGGAGGUUGUGCCCUUGAGGCGUGGCUUCCGGAGCUAACGCGUUAAGUCGACCGCCUGGGGAGUACGGCCGCAAGGUUAAAACUCAAAUGAAUUGACGGGGGCCCGCACAAGCGGUGGAGCAUGUGGUUUAAUUCGAUGCAACGCGAAGAACCUUACCUACUCUUGACAUCCAGAGAACUUAGCAGAGAUGCUUUGGUGCCUUCGGGAACUCUGAGACAGGUGCUGCAUGGCUGUCGUCAGCUCGUGUUGUGAAAUGUUGGGUUAAGUCCCGCAACGAGCGCAACCCUUAUCCUUUGUUGCCAGCGGUCCGGCCGGGAACUCAAAGGAGACUGCCAGUGAUAAACUGGAGGAAGGUGGGGAUGACGUCAAGUCAUCAUGGCCCUUACGAGUAGGGCUACACACGUGCUACAAUGGCGCAUACAAAGAGAAGCGACCUCGCGAGAGCAAGCGGACCUCAUAAAGUGCGUCGUAGUCCGGAUUGGAGUCUGCAACUCGACUCCAUGAAGUCGGAAUCGCUAGUAAUCGUAGAUCAGAAUGCUACGGUGAAUACGUUCCCGGGCCUUGUACACACCGCCCGUCACACCAUGGGAGUGGGUUGCAAAAGAAGUAGGUAGCUUAACCUUCGGGAGGGCGCUUACCACUUUGUGAUUCAUGACUGGGGUGAAGUCGUAACAAGGUAACCGUAGGGGAACCUGCGGUUGGAUCACCUCCUUACCUUAAAGAA
rnacentral:rRNA from 1 species